GACGAACGCUGGCGGCGCGCCUAACACAUGCAAGUCGAACGAGCGAGCGAGAGCUUGCUUUCUCGAGCGAGUGGCGAACGGGUGAGUAACGCGUGAGGAACCUGCCUCAAAGAGGGGGACAACAGUUGGAAACGACUGCUAAUACCGCAUAAGCCCACGGUGCCGCAUGGCACAGAGGGAAAAGGAGCAAUCCGCUUUGAGAUGGCCUCGCGUCCGAUUAGCUAGUUGGUGAGGUAAUGGCCCACCAAGGCGACGAUCGGUAGCCGGACUGAGAGGUUGAACGGCCACAUUGGGACUGAGACACGGCCCAGACUCCUACGGGAAGCAGCAGUGGGGAAUAUUGCACAAUGGGGGAAACCCUGAUGCAGCGACGCCGCGUGGAGGAAGAAGGUCUUCGGAUUGUAAACUCCUGUUGUUGGGGAAGAUAAUGACGGUACCCAACAAGGAAGUGACGGCUAACUACGUG
rnacentral:rRNA from 1 species